GAGUUUGAUCGUGGCUCAGGAUGAACGCUGGCGGCGUGCUUAACACAUGCAAGUCGAACGGGAACAUUUAUGAAGCUUCGGCAGAUUUAGCUUGUUCCAGUGGCGGACGGGUGAGUAACGCGUGGGUAACCUGCCUCACACUGGGGGAUAACAGUCAGAAAUGACUGCUAAUACCGCAUAAGCGCACGGAACCGCAUGGUUUUGUGUGAAAAAACUCCGGUGGUGUGAGAUGGACCCCGCGUUGA
rnacentral:rRNA from 1 species